GGGUUUGAUCUUGAUCCGCCAGAACCUUCUCCGCCUGGUGGACCCGAGCUCUAUCUGAUUCAUCCGCCUGCGGAUGGAUUUGUUUAACCUCAGGUAGCCUCUCCUCCUCCAGUAGGCUCUGAGCUUGGUGUACAUGGUUGCAGAAACUCCUUCCAUGUUUCAGAGGAAGAGAAUAACGGAAGUGGGCGGAUGAGAGUUGAUGAAGUUGGC
rnacentral:misc_RNA from 1 species